AUUGAACGCUGGCGGCAGGCUUAACACAUGCAAGUCGAGCGGGGGAAGGUAGCUUGCUACCGGACCUAGCGGCGGACGGGUGGGUAAUGCUUAGGAAUCUGCCUAUUAGUGGGGGACAACAUCUCGAAAGGGAUGCUAAUACCGCAUACGUCCUACGGGAGAAAGCAGGGGAUCUUCGGACCUUGCGCUAAUAGAUGAGCCUAAGUCGGGUUAGCUAGUUGGUGGGGUAAAGGCCUACCAAGGCGACGAUCUGUAGCGGGUCUGAGAGGAUGGUCCGCCACACUGGGACUGAGACACGGCCCAGACUCCUACGGGAGGCAGCAGUGGGGAAUAUUGGACAAUGGGGGGAACCCUGAUCCAGCCAUGCCGCGUGUGUGAAGAAGGCCUUAUGGUUGUAAAGCACUUUAAGCGAGGAGGAGGCUACUUUAGUUAAUACCUAGAGAUAGUGGACGUUACUCGCAGAAUAAGCACCGGCUAACUCUGUGCCAGCCGCCGCCGUAA
rnacentral:rRNA from 1 species